AUCAGUUGGAUGCAGAGAGAACCAAGUGAGGUGAAGCAGUGGGUGUGAGGACAGGUCAAGCUGGGGGUGCUGAUGCACAGGUCAGACUCAGGACUUAGAAAAGAAAAAAAUGAGACAUUUACUUCAGCUGUAUCAACUAUGGUUCUGGCAAAAAAGAAAAACAUUACCUAUAAAAUAACUGGGAAUACUAUGUCAGUGAAAACCAUGGACAAAUGUCUAAGACAGUGUGUUAAAAAUACACGAUUGUCCCACAAUGGUAGACCUAAUCACCUAGGCUUUUAUAGCUAGCUGAAGUUAGAGAGCACAUGCACUCAGUGGAGCUUGUCCUAAAUGCAGAGGUUGACAGUGAUGGGAGCAGUGAGUGGAAAUCAGGAAGUGAUCAGAUAGGGCUACCAAGACUUGGGAGUCCUCAUGUUGAUUGGAAGGUUCCAAGGAGUGUUGUUGAUGAGGAAAUAGGUAGCCGUAGAAUGCCAACAAACAUUUUUAAUCUAACUGGUCACACCACUAAUGCAAAAUGAAAAGGCCAAGAGAGGACAAAACCAACAGAAGUUGUGGCUCACCCUUGAUAAUGGAGCCAGGGCAGGAAAGCAAAAGGCAGAAUUCAGGGUUUCCAAAGUGGGUGGUGGUAAUGUAUCUCCAGGUUAAGCAAGGAAUAUUAGGCAGAUUUUCAAAGACUAAGCAGAGUCCUUUUUAUAAGAGAAGCAAGUCAGUAAGUAACCCAUCCUUUAUUUAGUGAAGAAACAACUUCACUAAUUUAGAAAACAGAAGAAUAUUAAAGACAAACAAAAGAAAGUAGUAGGACUAUCACAUAGUUAAGUAUAAAAUCAGAAAAUGUGAGUUGGGUUUAGUGGCAAAAAGAUCACAAGUUUAUGGCCAACCUGGGAUACAGAGGGAGACCCUGUCUUAGAAAAAAAAAAAAAAAAAGAAUGAAAGAAAAAGGUUUAAAAAAAAAAGAAAAAGAAAAAGAAAAAGAAAAAAAGAAAAAAAGAAAAAGACAAAAAAAAAGGAACUAUGAGAAUUGAAAGAAAAGGUGGAUACAGGUUGAAUUAUAAUUAAUAUGGCCUACAACAAAAUUCACAUAGCCCCAAUGGUAAAGGAGGCUAUUUGCCUCCCUAAAAGUUUCAUCAGGUAUCAAUGAAUGGGUUGGGUAAGGGGAAUAAAUGGUUACAAAGAGAUGAGUUUGAAAAUGGCUUGAUCAACAAUCUUCAGAAACCAGUGUCUGAUAGCCAAGGAUGUUUAUAGAUUGAGCAAAGAAAGUUACAAUCAAUGAAUAAUAUUCUGAAGAAUACUGGAGGGCACAUAUCUUUUGAACUGUAGAAGAACUGAUUUUAAAGAUGCUAGUAGAAAAAAAAUUAAGCCUAAAAUUAAACAAAAUAUUGUGUGUUAUUAUGUUUGGUACCAGACGAUACUUAAAUAAAAUAAUUUGUCCAAUUCGCAGAUUUAAUAUGUGGUAGGGCCAGAAUUAAAAUCAUUACCUUUAUCUAUUAAACCCAUAUUCCUUUCUAAUAUGCUUUAUUAUUUUCAAGUUGAAGGAAAUCAUAAAUAAGAAUUUCUAUAUUUUCCUUGUGACUGUAAGGAAAAAAUAUUUUUCUGAGAUAAGAUACAUUUUAAAGUGAUACGAUUUUGAAGUGACUGGUAAUUUUUAGAAUAUCUGCAAUGGGAAAAAGUUAAAUGUUAAAAAAAGAAAGACAGGAGGAUGGGUAUAGACUCUAUUACCACCUAUGUCCUGGUAUUUCACAUCGUUCAUUGCAAAGUAGAGUUGAGAUUGGCUACGGGCUAAAAUUCAUGAAUUCUAAUAAAAAUAAAGAAUAGAAAGAAGAAAGAAAGCAUAUGGUAGGUCAAACAUAAAAGUGAUGAAACAAGAUUAGAGUUUAUAGCCACAUCCUGCCACUGAUCAGAAAACCCUCUAAAUCUAACAUAAAGAAACAUCUCUAAUUGCCAAAUUUUCACAAACAAAAGCCAAAUAGUCCAUAGCCAGCAGACCAAACAUUCAAACCUCUGGGCUAAUAACAUGUAAGAUCUGUUUUAAGAAGUUACCUCCUCAGUGAAGAGAGCUGAGGUGAUCAUAUACUGUUCCUUUCUUUGUGAAGUGUUUAAUGUUACUAUUGUUUUCCUAUAUGUAACUACUGUAAUUUCAAUAUUGUUGUUUUGUAUAUUUUGGUAUUGUAAAACUGUGCUUAUUCUUUUAAUCCCAUUCCCUGGUGUGUGGGUCCCCUGAGUUAUCCAAUAUCAGAGUCCACCUAGUAGCUAGUACUGAGUAUAUACUAAGGAGCUAGUAAUCUCAACUGGGAAGGGCUGGAGUUUUCAAUGGGUUCAGAUUUGCUUCCUAUUGUAAUUAAGUGUAAAUUAAUGGCAUCCCUUAAAAAUUAAUAACACACAAGUUUAGUGAGAAGUACAGUGAUUGUGGAAGAAUUCUGAAGCAAUGAAAGAUGGCUAUUGGAAAAAACAGAGUCUCCCAGGAUGAUGGCAAAGACAUAGAACUGUAUUAAGGCUGGACCCAGAUAUAAGUUUGUAACAGUAGCAAACAAAACUAGCUUUACUCGAGAGAGCAGAAAGUUUAAAUACUGUCUAGCAGAUCGAUCUAUCUAUCUAUCUAUCUAGAGAGAAAUCAGACCAGGAGAAUAAAGUGAAACCACAAGGAAAUGGAAGGUGAGAGAAUUUCACAAAGGAAUAAACAAAGUUAUUAAAUUUAAAGACAGAUUACCAAAAGCUCAAAGGAGAAAUGUCAGAGUCCAGAUAGGAAAGUGCCUUUCCACCCAGGGUUAUGGUUACAGAUCCAAGUGGCUGUACAACACAAACACAGUUCCACUGGAUCAAAGGGAACAUCCUGGGAUUCAGACUCAGCAAUGGUGCCAACAUGAAUCUACCUCGUGCCAGAGUCUAAGUAGCUUUGUCUAGCACCCAACCCAGCUAAGAUUGGUCAGCAGUUCCCAUGAAUGAACACUGAAGAAUGGAGUUAGAAGAGGCUAUAAGUCAGAACAAGCCCUAAAUGUAACUGAAUGAUGACCAGGGAACUAUUUACUAGUACUUUUAUGAUUUCUUGUAACUCUGUAACUUCUCUGAUGUUUGUUAAUAUUGUUAAUUUCUGUAUUUCGUGUACUUACAAGUAGUAAAAACUUUAAAUAUUA